AGGGCUUUAUAAAAUACAUUUGAUUGAGCGAUACUUUAUCUUUGGCUAUUUCAGUCUCACUGUGUAAUGUAAGGACAUUUUGAAUAGGUGUAUGUUUAUAAACUGCCAUAUAAAUUAUAGUACUCUACCAUGUUUCUUACAUCAAAUCAUCUCAGAUCCCCACAAGUGCAUGGGAAGUUAGGAGUUGACAUUGGGCAUGAGCCUCAUGUUAUCUCCCUUUUAUCCCUCCUUCCUCUCUCUUAACGUCUCUCCCUCAUGUCAUAUCCCUCCCUCCCUCCCUCCCUCCCUCCCUCCUUCCUUCCUUCCUUCCUUCCUUCCUUCCUUCCUUCCUUCCUUCCUUCCUUCCUUCCUUCCUUCCUUCCUUCCUUCCUUCCUUCCUUCCUUCCUUCCUUCCUUCCUUCCCUCCCUCCCUCCAGGUUUUUCAGGAGGAAAAGUACCUGAAGGCAGCUGUGGAGUUCGGGGAGGUGAUCUGACAGAGAGGCCUGCUGAAGAAAGGUUAUGGUAUCUGUCACGGCACGGCAGGCAACGCCUAUUCCUUCCUCAGCCUCUACCAGGUCACCCAGGAGAAGAAGUACCUCUACCGUGCAUGCAAUUUGCUGAGUGGUGUCUAGACUACAGAACCCACGGCUGCAACAUUCCAGACAGACCAAACUCUCUGUUAUGAAGGUAAA
rnacentral:lncRNA from 8 species